rnacentral:rRNA from 1 species
UACGAAGGGUGCAAGCGUUAAUCGGAAUUACUGGGCGUAAAGCGUGCGUAGGCGGUUUGUUAAGUCUGUUGUGAAAUCCCCAGGCUCAACCUGGGAAUGGCAAUGGAUACUGGCAAGCUAGAGUGUGUCAGAGGAUGGUGGAAUUCCCGGUGUAGCGGUGAAAUGCGUAGAGAUCGGGAGGAACAUCAGUGGCGAAGGCGGCCAUCUGGGACAACACUGACGCUGAGGCACGAAAGCGUGGGGAGCAAACAGG